CUUUCCUGAGCCGGAAAGAGACUGGGUAAAAAGACUAUGAUAUCCUUUUAAUUCCCAUGCAGAUGUCGGAGGCUUCUUUUUCCUUUGGUCAAAUCUGAUUUGUAUUUCUCCUCGGCUAAUACCCCCAGAGCACUCCAGCCUGCUUUCUGCCUG
rnacentral:lncRNA from 1 species